rnacentral:rRNA from 1 species
UACGGAGGGUGCAAGCGUUAUCCGGAUUUACUGGGCUUAAAGGGUGCGUAGGUGGGCAGUUAAGUCAGUGGUGAAAUCUCCGAGCUUAACUCGGAAACUGCCAUUGAUACUAUCUGUCUUGAAUAUCCUGGAGGUGAGCGGAAUAUGUCAUGUAGCGGUGAAAUGCUUAGAUAUGACAUAGAACACCAAUUGCGAAGGCAGCUCACUACGGGAUUAUUGACACUGAGGCACGAAAGCGUGGGGAUCAAACAGG